GCGGGCGUGGUGAAAUUGGUAGACGCGCCGGACUCAAAAUCCGGUUCCGCAAGGAGUGUCGGUUCGAGCCCGACCGCCCGCA
rnacentral:tRNA from 2 species